rnacentral:rRNA from 1 species
UAACACAUGCAAGUCGAGGGGCAGCAUGGUCUUAGCUUGCUAAGGCCGAUGGCGACCGGCGCACGGGUGAGUAACACGUAUCCAACCUGCCGUCUACUCUUGGACAGCCUUCUGAAAGGAAGAUUAAUACAAGAUGGCAUCAUGAGUCCACAUGUUCACAUGAUUAAAGGUAUUCCGGUAGACGAUGGGGAUGCGUUCCAUUAGAUAGUAGGCGGGGUAACGGCCCACCUAGUCUUCGAUGGAUAGGGGUUCUGAGAGGAAGGUCCCCCACAUUGGAACUGAGACACGGUCCAAACUCCUACGGGAGGCAGCAGUGAGGAAUAUUGGUCAAUGGGCGAGAGCCUGAACCAGCCAAGUAGCGUGAAGGAUGACUGCCCUAUGGGUUGUAAACUUCUUUUAUAAAGGAAUAAAGUCGGGUAUGCAUACCCGUUUGCAUGUACUUUAUGAAUAAGGAUCGGCUAACUCCGUGCCAGCAGCCGCGGUAAUACGGAGGAUCCGAGCGUUAUCCGGAUUUAUUGGGUUUAAAGGGAGCGUAGAUGGAUGUUUAAGUCAGUUGUGAAAGUUUGCGGCUCAACCGUAAAAUUGCAGUUGAUACUGGAUAUCUUGAGUGCAGUUGAGGCAGGCGGAAUUCGUGGUGUAGCGGUGAAAUGCUUAGAUAUCACGAAGAACUCCGAUUGCGAAGGCAGCCUGCUAAGCUGCAACUGACAUUGAGGCUCGAAAGUGUGGGUAUCAAACAGGAUUAGAUACCCUGGUAGUCCACACGGUAAACGAUGAAUACUCGCUGUUUGCGAUAUACAGCAAGCGGCCAAGCGAAAGCGUUAAGUAUUCCACCUGGGGAGUACGCCGGCAACGGUGAAACUCAAAGGAAUUGACGGGGGCCCGCACAAGCGGAGGAACAUGUGGUUUAAUUCGAUGAUACGCGAGGAACCUUACCCGGGCUUAAAUUGCAGAUGAAUUACGGUGAAAGCCGUAAGCCGCAAGGCAUCUGUGAAGGUGCUGCAUGGUUGUCGUCAGCUCGUGCCGUGAGGUGUCGGCUUAAGUGCCAUAACGAGCGCAACCCUUGUUGUCAGUUACUAACAGGUUCUGCUGAGGACUCUGACAAGACUGCCAUCGUAAGAUGUGAGGAAGGUGGGGAUGACGUCAAAUCAGCACGGCCCUUACGUCCGGGGCUACACACGUGUUACAAUGGGGGGUACAGAGGGCCGCUACCACGCGAGUGGAUGCCAAUCCCAAAAACCUCUCUCAGUUCGGACUGGAGUCUGCAACCCGACUCCACGAAGCUGGAUUCGCUAGUAAUCGCGCAUCAGCCACGGCGCGGUGAAUACGUUCCCGGGCCUUGUACACACCGCCCGUCAAGCCAUGGGAGCCGGGGGUACCUGAAGUGCGUAACCGCGAGGAGCGCCCUAGGGUAAAACUGGUGACUGGGGCUAA